AUUGAACGCUGGCGGCAGGCUUAACACAUGCAAGUCGAACGAGUGGCAGACGGGUGAGUAGUGAUUGAGACUCUGUCUUAUGGAGGGGGAUAACUACUGGAAACUGUCGCUAAUACCGCAUACCCUCAGCUGCGCCCAAGUGGGAUUAGGUAGUGGGUGGGGUAAAGGCUCACCCAGGCGACGAUCCCUAGCUGGUCUGAGAGGAUGACCAGCCACACUGGGACUGAGACACGGCCCAGACUCCUACGGGAGGCAGCAGUGGGGAAUAUUGCGCAAUGGGGGCAACCCUGACGCAGCCAUGCCGCGUGUAUGAAGAAGGCCUUCGGGUUGUAAAGUACUUUCGGUAGCGAGGCGUUAACUACAGAAGAAGCACCUGCUAACUCCGUGCCAGCAGCCGCGGUAAUAC
rnacentral:rRNA from 1 species